rnacentral:rRNA from 1 species
GAUCAUGGCUCAGAGUGAACGCUGGCGGUAGGCCUAACACAUGCAAGUCGAACGGCAGCACAGUAAGAGCUUGCUCUUAUGGGUGGCGAGUGGCGGACGGGUGAGGAAUACAUCGGAAUCUACUUUUUCGUGGGGGAUAACGUAGGGAAACUUACGCUAAUACCGCAUACGACCUCGGUGAAGCAGGGACCGUCGGCCGUCGUCGCGAUGAUGAGCCGACGUGUCGGAGUUAGUCUAGUUGGUCGGGGUAAACGGG